CAAUAUUAUUCUUAAUAGCAAACUUUCUUUUUCAAAUAAUAAGCUUGUUAAUAUGUCCACUGUUGCUCCGCUGAUCCAUACAGUGGCUCUACCUUCAACCUCCCACCUCCCACCUCCUGCCUCCCCUCCGCUCCACUCUUCUGCCUGGCGCCUGUGUUUCGUUGAGGGUGGAGGAGGCAGGAGGUGGGCUGGUCAGCACAGCACCUCCACAACUUGUAAAAGCCUCUAGUUGAAGUGACGUGGGAUAUUAAGAGCUUUUUUUAAUACUCUGGUAACGUAUGAACAAGAUCAAAAGGCUCUAGGACUAGGUAAAGUGACUCGUGAAUAAAGUGGUUUUUUUACGGUUAUGGUGACGGAUGAAGAAGACUUCUACCCUGUGAAGAUAAUAGACGGCCUUGGAAAUUCGGCUAAUUGUGUCUGCUGCCUUGGAAAACAGCCGCAGUGAAAGAGGUGUGGUGGCCAGAGACAGCUUUCACUACCGAACAGUGAUGUAACUCAAUAUUUCACAGUCCUGACUCAUCCUCAUCUGCCCAUACUUCACCGCAGUAGCCUACAGGACGAUACACCAAUGAAUUGACGCCUGCAGAUACUUAAAAGGCGGUAAAAAGAUUUGUGUGUCAGGAAGGCCCAGUGAAGUGAUAAGGCAGUUGGCUGUGGCGGGCUGGCGGCGGCCAUGAUGACGUCAUCGGUGGGUCCCGCCCUGCCCGGCGAGUUCGUAUUAUUCACAUUUCUCAGCUCACUUAUUUCGCCUCAUAAUCACUCCAAGGUUUGCCAUUGUCCCAACCCACACACGUGUGCCGCAGCCUGCCGCAGUCCUAACAUGGGCUCGGGGUGGUACAACUGCCUCUUGAGCCGUUGCCUCCGCUGUCGCAGGAACAGUAUAGGUAAGAAUUAGCUAAUAGGUGUGU